rnacentral:rRNA from 1 species
CGGAGGAUCCAAGCGUUAUCCGGAAUCAUUGGGUUUAAAGGGUCCGUAGGCGGUUUUGUAAGUCAGUGGUGAAAGCCCAUCGCUCAACGGUGGAACGGCCAUUGAAACUGCAAGACUUGAAUUAUUAGGAAGUAACUAGAAUAUGUAGUGUAGCGGUGAAAUGCUUAGAGAUUACAUGGAAUACCAAUUGCGAAGGCAGGUUACUACUAAUGGAUUGACGCUGAUGGACGAAAGCGUGGGUAGCGAACAGGAUUAGAUACCCUGGUAGUCCACGCCGUAAACGAUGGAUACUAGCUGUUCGGAGCAAUCUGGGUGGCUAAGCGAAAGUGAUAAGUAUCCCACCUGGGGAGUACGUUCGCAAGAAUG